GCCUGUGUCCGCGGUGGCUCAGAUGGAUAGAGCGUCUGCCAUGUAAGCAGGAGAUCCCGAGUUCGAGUCUCGGUCGGGGCA
rnacentral:tRNA from 1 species